UGCCCGUCGGAUGACAGUAAAGACUGUAUUUCCAUGAUUAGCAUUGCACAAUCAUCACAAGGUACAUGAUUUGUAUGUUCAUAAAGUUAAAUCAAAAAUAGGAAGAAAAGAGAGAAAACUCCAAAAUUGUUCACAAAUGCAAACAAAUAAACCUGACUGUAAAUUAAUUUAAGAGCCUAACUGUACAACAAAAAGAAUAAUUUCAAGAAACUUGAAAAAAAUACCUUGACCAUACAUCUGAGUUUCUGCACCUUUGUCCACUGAAAGAGCUUAGAAGCAAGAACUCCAGGAGCAAUGAGACCACCCAGUGUCCGGUCUUGAUUUCUAAGACCACUAACCACCUAAAGGAACUAAAUCUUUCUGGAGAAGCAGUUGAUUCCAGAUUCGAGGAAAGGAAAGUA